GAUGCAAAAAUUCUGACCAAAAUUUUAACUGAAUAUAGCAAUUUCUUUAAAAAUACCAUGACCAAAUGAGUCAUCAAAAAGUAGGUUGCAAGGCUGAUUAAGCAUUAAAAGUAUAUCAGUAUAUUUUACCACAUUAAUAAAUAAGAA